rnacentral:rRNA from 1 species
UACGUAGGGGGCAAGCGUUGUCCGGAUUUAUUGGGCGUAAAGAGCGUGUAGGCGGCCAGGUAGGUCCGUUGUGAAAACUCGAGGCUCAACCUCGAGACGUCGGCGGAAACCCUCUGGCUAGAGUCCGGAAGAGGAGAGUGGAAUUCCUGGUGUAGCGGUGAAAUGCGCAGAUAUCAGGAAGAACACCCGUGGCGAAGGCGACUCUUUGGCCUGUAACUGACGCUGAGGCGCGAAAGCGUGGGGAGCAAACAGG